UGUUUUAAACAUAAUUGAACCCCGGAAUAUCAAAAUACUGCACGCCAACUUAAAUGUACAUGUAUGUACAUGUGCUGUACUCCGGACUAACGAAAACACGGAAACAAACAUGAAACUAUAAUAUUUUUAUUUUAAUAGCAAUUCAGUUAUAAAACAAAGAAAUUUUGUUAAUAUGAUUUUUAUUUGUCAUGUGAUUUUUGUUUAUAAUCAUAUAUCAUCUAUUUUGAUUGGUUUUCUAGCAACUGGAGGCUAUUUAGUGGUUCGAUCUCAAUACCUCGUUAUAAUGCCAAUAUUUCCCAAGUCCUGAUGGUGGCGGUAUAACGAGGUUUUACUGUAAUAUGGAUAAUUUAGCAGGUAAUAAAUGAAUUAGUGAAAAAGACAUGUCAUUGAUUGUUUUCAUGAUCAAGUAAACAUAUAAUUAUUAAUUACAUUCACACUUCAGUGCCUCCAAGUUUCAAAUAAAUAUUGUUUCUGUCUAUUUUGCCAGUUUAUGUAAUAAAAUACUGAAGAGCCCAUAUAAUAAGUAACAAAUGCUUCUAUUAAUUAUCCUAA